AUUGAACGCUGGCGGCAGGCCUAACACAUGCAAGUCGAGCGAGCGGCGGACGGGUGAGUAAUGUCUGGGAAACUGCCUGAUGGAGGGGGAUAACUACUGGAAACGGUAGCUCAUACCGCAUACCAUCAGAUGAACCCAUAUGGGAUUAGCUUGUAGGUAAGGUAACGGCUUACCUAGGCGACGAUCCCUAGCUGGUCUGCGAGGAUGAUCAGCCACACUGGGACUGAGACACGGCCCAGAAUCCUACGGGAGGCAGCAGUGGGGAAUAUUGCACAAUGGGCGCAAGCCUGAUGCAGCCAUGGCGCGUGUAUGAAGAAGGCCUUCGGGUUGUAAAGUACUUUCAGUCGGGAGGCGUUACCGACAGAAGAAGCACCGGCUAACUCCGUGCCAGCAGCCGCGGUAAUAC
rnacentral:rRNA from 1 species